rnacentral:rRNA from 1 species
UACGUAGGGUGCAAGCGUUAAUCGGAAUUACUGGGCGUAAAGCGUGCGCAGGCGGUUUUGUAAGUCUGUCGUGAAAUCCCCCGGGCUCAACCUGGGAAUUGCGAUGGAGACUGCAAGGCUAGAAUCUGGCAGAGGGGGGUAGAAUUCCACGUGUAGCAGUGAAAUGCGUAGAGAUGUGGAGGAACACCGAUGGCGAAGGCAGCCCCUGGGUCAAGAUUGACGCUCAUGCACGAAA